rnacentral:misc_RNA from 1 species
GUUUUGGUAAGUACCGAGACCGCCAUUUAUUUAUUUCUCACUUGAUAGAGCUUUUUAACAAACAUUUCCUACAAUUCUCUCCAUAAAAUGCUUCUGUAACCCCAAGAUUGCGUGUGUUCUCUCUUGUGUUGGAGUAAUGGGAAAUUAUUUUACAAUCCCGUCGUCGAAGACAGCCGGAAAAGUAAUUCUAUCUGAUGGCAGAGUUCAUAAGUUUGAGAAACCCUUAACCGUGGCCGAGCUGAUGCUAGAGUACCCACAACAAGUGGUGGUGGAAUUCCGCUCUGAUUUAUCUGAAAAGAGGCCAACUCCAUUGCCAGCUGAUCAGAAGCUAGACAUGAAGAAGGUGU